UACUGGUGGCGACCGGCGCACGGGUGCGUAACGCGUAUGCAACCUUUCUCUAACAGGGAAAUAGCCCGUCGAAAGACGGAUUAACGUCCCAUAACAUUCGGUUUUGCAUAAAGCUGAAUUAAAAUCUGCGGAGGUUAGAGGUGGGCAUGCGUACCAUUAGCUAGUUGGUAGGGUAACGGCUUACCAAGGCAACGAUGGUUAGGGGUUCUAAAAGGAUGAUCCCCCACACUGGUACUGAGACACGGACCUGACUCCUACGGGAGGCAGCAGUGAGGAAUAUUGGACAAUGGGUGCAAGCCUGAUCCAGCCAUGCCGCGUGCAGGACGAAGGCGCUAUGCGUUGUAAACUGCUUUCGAACCGGAGAAAACCCCUCCACGUGUGGAGGGUUGAUAGUACGGUAAGAAUAAGCAUCGGCUAACUCCGUGCCAGCAGCCGCGGUAAUACGGAGGAUGCAAGCGUUAUCCGGAUUUAUUAGGUUUAAAGGGUGCGUAGGCGGUUUGCUAAGUCAGUGGUGAAAUACCGACGCUCAACGUCGGGGCUGCCAUAGAAACUGGUGAACUUAAAUUGAGAUGAAGUAUUCGGAAUGUGUGGUGUAGCGGUGAAAUGCAUAGAUAUCACACAGAACACCGAUUGCGAAGGCAGGAUACUAAACUUCGAUUGACGCUGAGGCACGAAAGCGUGGGGAUCAAACAGGAUUAGAUACCCUGGUAGUCCACGCUGUAAACGAUGAUCACUCGCUGUCGGCGAUACACAGUCGGUGGCCAAGCGAAAGCGAUAAGUGAUCCACCUGGGGAGUACGGCGGCAACGCUGAAACUCAAAGGAAUUGACGGGGGCCCGCACAAGCGGAGGAACAUGUGGUUUAAUUCGAUGAUACGCGAGGAACCUUACCCGGGCUUGAAAGUUAGUGAAUGAUGGUGAAAGCUGUCAGCCAGCAAUGGCACGAAACUAGGUGCUGCAUGGCUGUCGUCAGCUCGUGCCGUGAGGUGUCGGGUUAAGUCCCAUAACGAGCGCAACCCUUAUCAAUAGUUGCUAGCAGGUCAAGCUGAGGACUCUAUUGAGACUGCCGGCGUAAGCCGUGAGGAAGGUGGGGAUGACGUCAAGUCAGCACGGCCCUUACGUCCGGGGCUACACACGUGUUACAAUGGUAGAUACAGAGGGCAGCCACUGCGUGAGCAGGAGCUAAUCCUAAAAGUCUAUCACAGUUCGGAUUGAAGUCUGCAACUCGACUUCAUGAAGCUGGAUUCGCUAGUAAUCGCGCAUCAGCAAUGGCGCGGUGAAUACGUUCCCGGGCCUUGUACACACCGCCCGUCAAGCCAUGGGAGCCGGGGGUACCUGAAGUACGUGACCGCAAGGAGCGUCCUAGGGUAAAACUGGUGACUGGGGCUAAGUCGUAACAAGGUA
rnacentral:rRNA from 1 species